GCUCAGAUUGAACGCUAGCGGGAUGCCUUACACAUGCAAGUCGAACGGCAGCACGGACUUCGGUCUGGUGGCGAGUGGCGAACGGGUGAGUAARGUAUCGGAACGUGCCUAGUAGCGGGGGAUAACUACGCGAAAGCGUAGCUAAUACCGCAUACGCCCUACGGGGGAAAGCAGGGGAUCGRAAGACCUUGCACUAUUAGAGCGGCCGAUAUCGGAUUAGCUAGUUGGUGGGGUAACGGCUCACCAAGGCGACGAUCCGUAGCUGGUUUGAGAGGACGACCAGCCACACUGGGACUGAGACACGGCCCAGACUCCUACGGGAGGCAGCAGUGGGGAAUUUUGGACAAUGGGGGAAACCCUGAUCCAGCCAUCCCGCGUGUGCGAUGAAGGCCUUCGGGUUGUAAAGCACUUUUGGCAGGAAAGAAACGUCGCGGGUUAAUACCCCGCGAAACUGACGGUACCUGCAGAAUAAGCACCGGCUAACUACGUGCCAGCAGCCGCGGUAAUACGUAGGGUGCAAGCGUUAAUCGGAAUUACUGGGCGUAAAGCGUGCGCAGGCGGUUCGGAAAGAAAGAUGUGAAAUCCCAGAGCUUAACUUUGGAACUGCAUUUUUAACUACCGAGCUAGAGUGUGUCAGAGGGAGGUGGAAUUCCGCGUGUAGCAGUGAAAUGCGUAGAUAUGCGGAGGAACACCGAUGGCGAAGGCAGCCUCCUGGGAUAACACUGACGCUCAU
rnacentral:rRNA from 1 species